rnacentral:misc_RNA from 1 species
UCCGGUUUGUCACUGGCAGUCUCCUUAGAGUUCCCACCAUUACCUGUUAGCAACAGAGGACGAGGGUUGCGCUCGUUGCGGGACUUAACCCAACAUCUCACGACACGAGCUGACGACAGCCAUGCAGCACCUGUGCAUCUCCCACCCGAAGUGAAGAGUCCGAUUUCUCGGAUUCACAGAGAGCAUGUCAAAGCCUGGUAAGGUUCUUCGCGUUGCCUCGAAUUAAACCACAUGUUCCACCGCUUGUGCGGGUCCCCGUCAAUUCCUUUGAGUUUUAAUCUUGCGACCGUACUCCCCAGGCGGGGUGCUUAACGCGUUAGCUGCGCCACUGAGAGGUAACCCCCCAACGGCUAGCACCCAUCGUUUACAGCGUGGACUAC